rnacentral:rRNA from 1 species
GACGAACGCUGGCGGCGUGCCUAAUACAUGCAAGUGGAACGCACUAAUCUCACCGGAGCUUGCUCCACCGAGGAUAGUGAGUCGCGAACGGGUGAGUAACGCGUAGGUAACCUACCUUCUAGCGGGGGAUAACUAUUGGAAACGAUAGCUAAUACCGCAUGACAAUGAAGUACACAUGUACUUGAUUUAAAAGGAGCAAUUGCUUCACUAGGAGAUGGACCUGCGUUGUAUUAGCUAGUUGGUAGGGUAACGGCCUACCAAGGCCUCGAUACAUAGCCGACCUGAGAGGGUGAUCGGCCACACUGGGACUGAGACACGGCCCAGACUCCUACGGGAGGCAGCAGUAGGGAAUCUUCGGCAAUGGGGGGAACCCUGACCGAGCAACGCCGCGUGAGUGAAGAAGGUUUUCGGAUCGUAAAGCUCUGUUGUAAGAGAAGAACGUGUGUGAGAGUGGAAAGUUCACACAGUGACGGUAACUUACCAGAAAGGGACGGCUAACUACGUG